AAGAUACUGGUGCAUGGUAGCUCACAGCACCACAGAGGGAAGGGCUAGGUUUUUCACAGCCAGCUGUCUGGGUAAUGAAAACUCGUUCUUGAACAAAAACAUAGAUCUCGCUUUCUUGGUGAGGUUUGGGUUUUUAUUUUUACAGUUCCAUAAUAUUUUGGCCAAAAAAAGAAAAAAGAAAAAAGUUAAUAUUUGUUUAAUGCUUCAAAUCCGAAGAUUUUCCUGGCCAAAAAUAUACUCUCAUGUAAUUGCAAGUGGCUUUAUUUGUGCUGCAUAACACUGCAAGAUAACAGACAGCUCCAAAUAAGACAGCCUGGGCAUUAAGCUACCGUGCAGGAGAUUGGGGAUCUCAGCAUUGCAGCAAAACGCCUCAGAACAUCUCAUUGGCAGCAUCGCUAUGACAACUCCCCAUCAGCGACGGGGACGGCAGCGGUCAUCUACAUUGUCUGCUAACAUUUUGAUGCUGGGUCAACAAGAGGCAACACUUCCUUCUCUGCGGUGUGGGAAGGAUAUUAUCAGAGCACCACAGCAGCGCACACACCAUGUGCUGUACGUCCCAGGAGCACACAGAGGCUGUAACACCACUCAUAGUCUGCUUAACUGGCCAUUGGGACUACUGCAAGUGUGAAAAGCUUUUGUGUUAAUUUUUAUACAAAUUCAUUUUCAGCACUGAAGCAUCACAAACUAGGUAUCACCGAAACAACACACAACUUCAUUUGGCACUCAGAGCAACACUAGCAGUUUUAGAAAUACCAGGUUUUGUUUUAUAUUAGCUUUACACAUUCAUGACAAGCUUCUUGUCACCACCAGGACAUUUUUUCCAUGCAAGUUUCAACUGCUGACACCAGAAAAAUGGUUCAUUCCGUUGUCCGAUAAGAAACAAUACAACUCACUUGGAAAGACCGUGAUCACUUCAGGGUGGCAGGACUACAUACACCACUUCUCCAGGACAGCUGUCAUCAAGGUUUCAAAGGAGUACAUUCCCUCACCUGGACUGCCUGACCAGAGACAGGCUGGUACCACAGAUGGUGAAUAUUUGUUUUAAAAGCCGAUGACCUUCCCAACAAACAGGAUUGUUUGUAUAUGAUGUAGAUGCACUGGAGAAUACAAGUGGAGAACCUCUAAAGGGGAUCUGACAAGAACUACCUUAGAGAGUAAUUGUCUUUCAUUACCUAUUAUCUGAACUGUGGUUCCAUUUUCAAAAAGCAAGUGAACCAUAGCCAACAUGACAGUUCAUGUAUAUCACAUCCCUUUAUUUCAAAGCUCACCUGAGCUUAGCGUUUAUAAAGGAGCUUAAGUUUUCCAGACAAUCAGUACCACGCUGUCAGUGAGAAAGCCACACCGUAUCCUUACUUGUGUACACACCAGGGCUUGUAACCAACAGCUCUAGUACUUAAUGUCAGUAACUAUAUUACCAGGCCCUAUUUCACCAGUUAUGCACAAAAACGUCUACGUGUGCAUUUUCAGCUGGUGUGCUGUACAUGACGCUCACCAUACGCUAAAAUUGGUGUAGAUUUGGUAGCAGACCAAAUCCUAGAGACAUAAACUCUUAGAGGAGUCCUGAGGGAAUGUUAGAACACAUCCUCACAACCCUCUAGUGAAAAUUAACAGCAAAAACCUGCUGAGAGCAGCAUUACCAAGCACUGCCUCACUAGAUCCGUACAGCUCUGCGAGGCCUGGCACUCUGCUCUGCAGCAGUUAUUUCACUACAAACAGCAGGUUUGUAGUGUCCGGUACCGUGUGUGACACACCACACACCACACCUUCACCCGAAGGCUCAGUACCAGACAGUGCUGGUAUCCAGAUGCAGUAAGGUAUUUAUUCAGUCUCCAGUGACUUAAGAGUUUCAUUUCUGAUCAUCCUUCUCAAACACAGCAACAUAUGAACUUCAAUUAAGUAAUUCAGGAUUGUCAUCAUCUAUCCACUCAGACUCCGCAGACACAUCAGCAUGCAUUCAAUAUGCUUUCCUAGUAAAUUAUAUUGCUGAAAAUAAGAGCUUCUCAAGUUUCAAAAGGCUGCUAUUAAACAUGGCCAAGGGGACUCUGCAUCCUCUGACAACGCAGUUCUAGCUCUGGAACUCAUUUCUAACAAAGGAGGGAUAAAUACGUAACUAAUUAUUUUCCUGUAAGUCAAUACCAUAAAAUUGAUUAGAACCCUACGUUUGAACUUCGUUCCCCAAAUUUCUUUUUCCUGAACGUAAACGUGAAGCUACUCAUAUCUGAAAUUCAAGCAAGCAAUACUUCACACUGACUGUAAAUAUUACUAAGACUAUAAAACUAAAAAGAGUAGUCAUAUCUACUGGAAUAGCAGUGUCUGUCAGCACACAAGUUUUCUAUCAGCUAUUUUCCAACAUUCCUUUGUUUGUCAAGGUUAAAAACCAUUAGUUUCCCAGAUUUUGGGAUUGAACAGAAAACGGCUUUAGCAUUUCUCGGGCCUCUGAAAAUGAAGGCAUGCUAUUUCAUCUCUUAAGAGAGUCUUGCCUAUUAACUUAGAAUUGCUAACAGCUGAAAUAUUCAAAACUGAAAGACAGAGGCCUUAAACCAAUGAGGGCUGGUGAUGAAAUUCUUGCUUAAGCUAACCAAAUUACGACAUCAUGGAAAAGACAUGCACUCUUCCAUCCUGGGGCUUUGCUAAAUUGUUCAACUACCCUGCAGUAUAAAGUUAUACUAUACCUUCAAACAUAGCAUAUUCACAUUUGCCAAUUCAAUUGAACAGUGGAAUCUAUAUUGAUGCAACCAAAAAACACCCCGCGCAUACUUUUGCGAGAAGGCCUGUUCAGAUGCAGCUUAUAUGUUCUGCUAGUAUGGAAAGUAUAAAUGAGGGAGAUUAGUUUCCUUUAUUUAGUUUUGUUGUGCCUACAACAGACUGUUUCAAAUGAUGUGUAGCCAAAUGGUUCCAGACUACGGAAUUUUUCUACUCUACUGCCAACUUUGCACAAGCAAAUUUUGCUUUGAAGUUCUGCAGAACGAAUAUUUCAUUUAUUCUCCAGCCUCAUUUUUUCUGCACAUAUGCAAGUCAUUUUCAACACAAUAUUAAAUCUGCAAU